rnacentral:rRNA from 1 species
CGUUCCCGGGCCUUGUACACACCGCCCGUCACACGCCGAAAGUCGGCAACGCCCGAAGCCAGUGGCCUAACCCCUCGGGGAAGGAGCUGUCGAAGGUGGGGUCGGCGAUUGGGGUG